GGUGGUGAAACACGGGGCUUUUGGAUGCCUUACUCUGAGAAAAGCCAUGAUAAGGACCUGUCUUCAUAAUAAGGUAUAAAACUGUCAUUCUGGCAGUCUAGUAAGCUCUGUUUGACUGGGAGAAUGAUACCUACCCAGGAACAGCAGGACAUAAUACAGAGUUCCUGUACUACAAAUAAGGGUAAUAUAAACAAAGUUUUCCGCCUAUACAUUUCUUGAAGUAUUUAUAGUAUGUAUGCAGAUCAUAUUACUGGUACCUUUUUUUUUUUUUCUCAGGUACUAAAAAUCCCUAAUUCUUGAGAGAAAAAAUUGAGAGAAAAAGGUAUUUGUCAGUAGCUUGGUGCUUCUUAUGCAUCUGCCUUGAAUUUUUCCCUGCUAUGGAGGACAGCUAAGAUUUAAUUAACUACAAGCAGAAAAAGAACUUCUAAGUUCCUCAUAAAGACCAUAUUCUGCCAGCUGGGCUGAAAAAAACUAAAACAAAAAAUAUGCAAGUAAUGGCAGCUAAUGGCAUUUCCAAAUAGACCAUCUCUAACCCUAUUAUCAAGAUGGGUAGUUUGUACCUAUACCAAUAGUUUAGUCACACUCCUCAUGUUCUUACACCUUCAUCCAAGUUCCUCAAGAGGUCACCAUGUUUACCACAUGGUAAAUUCAAGUUCCUCCUCCCAUCUGGAGAAGUUGGUGCAAAAAAAGAAGAUAUGGCAAUAUUUUGCGUCUACUCAUGUUCCCUUAGAGAAACAGCUUUUCUUGGGAAGCUGGAGCCUGGUUCUAGUCCAGUUUUCUUGUCCUGAGGUAAACCCAAAGUAUGCCUUUGAGAAGACAAGUGUAUUCACUUUAUUCACCUCUACCCUUGAUGGCAGAAAUUGUUUUCAACCCAGGCUGCAUGGUCAGAAUGGAAGUGCAGUAAAUGCUCUUGUUCUGUGGAAACUACAGAACCAAGUGAUUAUUGGGACUUAUUUUGACUGUAGCCAAGUGUUCUAAAGCAUUACACAGUCUGUGAAUUUGGUUUUUCUGCACCGUGUGUUAAUGAAUAAUCUGCUGCAUACCUUUAUGUUGCGAAGUCUGGUGUUUCAAUUGUUCAUUGCAGAACGUGGAAAGCAACUAAUUAUUACUAGUUUGUUUGGAUUUUUUAAGUGGUACCCAUGAUUACUAGACAAAACAUUGUAAGGUGAGAUAAACUGAAGGGCUGAGCUAACAGCUCAUCAUUGUCAAAUGAGGAGACCCUGCUCCCUUUACCCUGUCCCAUUUCCUAGGAACAGGGUAAAGGGAGCAGGGUCUCCUCAUUUGACAAUCUUCAACAUUUCACCAGUUUUUACACUUGCUGGGUCCUUCACUGAACUGCUCACAUUUGAUAACAAAGCAACUUAAAGGGAAGAGCUUCUUUGUGGGCAGUGACUGGUCUUACAUAAUUUCACACUUAAACAAAAUGAUCAUGCAAGCCCUGGGACACGUGAGCCUCAGGCACAAAGCAGCAUCUGCUUACAGAUAACCAUUUGUGAUUUCUGCCCUUCUGUUCAGUUGUGGACAUUUAAGCCAAGUGACCUCCCUGUAAGCCUGGAUUCCCACCAACCAAAGUGAUGAGUCAAGACUGCAACAGCUCACAUCCUCUGUGGCUCACCAGAGAGACCUCUAACACCAGAAGACUCUAGUUGCAUGAAAUUUUAACACAGAAAUUUCAACUAGGCACAUUGUCAAUUACUCCCAUCCUCUGUUAGAGACCGACUAAAUCCCAGAGGGUAGAAAUGACAUACUUCCUGAAGGAAAACCUGCAAACAAGCAUCUCACCUGGCUAUUCUAAUGAUAUUUGCUCUUUCUGGAUACAAAACCCUUGACAGAUGUGAUUGCUUGGAAUUGACAGCUUUCUCUUAAUUUGAUAGAAACUCCACAAAACACAGGGUUGCUGCUGCUGCUCGUGCUCUUGGCUCUGUUGAUUCUUCUUUCCAUGCCAAAACUGGAGCGGCUGCCUCUGGAUCCCAAGACAUGGAGAGGCAAAAGUGUAAUAAUAUGUCUUAGGGUUCUUCCUUCCUGGGCAGGGAUUAUGGAAGACUACUCCACUACAAAUCCUGCAGAAGAAUGGUUCCUUACAUGUGGUUAUGCCUGACCUUGGAAAAGGGGUGAAAUUUCUCAACACAGAACCAAGCAAUUUCCGUACCAAGAAUCAAGGUUUGUUUAAAUCAAGCAGUAACUACCCAGCAGAUGCAACAACACAGAGCACCUGGGCAUAGAACGGCUGUCCUUGUCACACCUUUGUCUUCAAUAGCUCUGUAGCAAUCCUGAGGGCGCUCCUCCUAGUGUGCUAUUGCCAACGCCAAAGGAAGAAGGUGUGAUUUUUUUUUCCACUUCUCUAGGCAGAGCUAUGUUUUCCUCAGCCAUAGGCCACAGGCUAUCACAGAAGUUCAGGCUGUUAGCUUGGAAGCUUUAAAAGGCAGAGAAAAUAUAAUCAAGCUGGAGACACCUGAGACUAGAGAGAAAGUGUGUCAUGCAGUGAGUGGACAAAGUCCCUGCUUGUAGUGCUACCCCACCUACUGAGGCAUUGAUAACACAUUUUUAAGUGUCACCUGACAGACAGUAAUCCUGCAUUUUCCUAGAGUAUCUCAUAACUGUGGAUCCAAAAUAAUUUCUCUUGAUUGUCACAGCAAAGAAAAAAACAGUGAGAGAAGCUAAGUUAUUUUGUUGAAAUGUUUAUUUUACAAAGCCUAUGGCUUUGAACACCUGCUUAGCAAACUAUGCAGUCCACACUGGUGUCUUUGGAAGAUCAACUGCCCUGAAGAAAGUUACCAGAGAAGAGGUACCUGCUUGGCUCCUUCCUGAAAUGAAGGAACCAUGAACAGCAGAUUCCAAGCAGAUGCACAUAGGUCCUGGAUAUGAAUUCCGAAUUAAUAAAAUAAUAAUGAAGCUUGUAUCUCAGCUGCUGUUUUUUUGUUUGUCUCCCUUCUCAAUCUUGUUCAGAGGAUUUAAUCAAGUUAAUUUUUCUUGGCACUGUGUUCUCCAUGUUUUGAAGUAUUAGGGGACAGAAAGAUUUCUGCUACCACAGGAAUAUGAUAUCACAUGGAAAAGAAAUACAGCAUGCAAUAAAAUACCAUGGAUUGCUUUUGAAUCACCAUAACCAUUAUUAUUAGGCUAAUGCAGCCAUCCCAGUCAAAUUUGGGACACUCAUUUUUGGGGAGAGACUAUUUAAAAUUUCAGGCAAUGGCCAUGAAACCAAUAAGUCUUUUGUGGGAGCUGACUGAUCUAUCAUCCAGCAGUCAGACAUUAUGCUGUCACAAAUUAAAUGCUCUUCCUUUUCAAGUUUUAUCUUCUUGUUUAGCUGUCACAGUGAUCCUUCCAUGAGUUUUCUUGCAGAGAGCAGAAGGAAAAUAAUCAGUCAAGAUCAUUGUUAUGCUGGAAGUAAGCCACCUUUUAUCUUAAGAUAUUUAUUAUCUCAGUUGAAGAUCCAAACACCCACUCCAAGCAACCUCCUGAACACAGGGGAAGGAUGUGUGCUGUUUGACCUCCUGGAUACAACUCCGCAUCUGUCAUGCCAUCAUAGGAGAUGGGUGAGAUAAACACCACCACAGGAUAGGCUGUUAUCCUCCAGGUACAUGAUGUAAUUUCCCAGUGAUCACAAUGUUUAAUGUGGUAGCAGCACAUUUAUAUAAAAGCCAUUAUUUGUGUACUCCUACUAGGACAGCUAGCAAGCAGAGAUUGUCUCCUGAAGCUCUGUAUGACAUAUUAUGCAUGCUCAGUCUAGUACAGAAAUUGGUCUCUAAGACAUAUGAAUAUACUCAUAACUAGUUUUUGCAUAUACUCAGUGAGUGCAGUGAAGUGGUGCAAAGAUAAUUAAGAUACUGGAGCACCUGCCAUACAAGGAGAGGUUGAAAUUUCUGGGACUGCUUAGUCUUGAGAAAAGGUUGAGCCUCAAUGUGCAUAAGUACCUAAAAGGAAGGUGUGAAACUCAGACUCUUACUGGUAUCCUCUGAAAGGAUAUGAAAUAAAGUACAUUCAAUUUAGACAUAAUUUUCAUUUAUCUAUUUUUAAAGAGGUCAUGAAUAAACACUAGAAGAGGUUACCCAGAGAGGUUGUAGAGUUUCUAACCUUAGAGAUAUACAAAACUUAAUUGAGCACAGAUCCUUUCCACUGACUGUGUGAAGUAGGAAAAUUCCGUGGAGAUGUAUUUAUCUGGCACAGAUUAUCAGAUAAAAUCCUCCUAGGGCUGUGACAAACAUGAACCUGCUGAAAAUCCCCAAAUCCUACUGCCAUACCCACUGCUUUUAUUUUCCUCAGCAGAAGGUGUUCACAAAGACACUAAAAAUGAAAAGCUACUUGCUCUCAAGCUGGAGUUUGAUACUCAUAGUGUUCAUAUGCAGAGCUCACUUUUCCCCUUUGCUCCAGAACUCUGCAUAUUUAGUACUUCAUAGCCAGGAGGGAAAAGCAUGUUCUGUUAGUAUAAAAAUGUGAGGAGGCUGAAGACACAGAUACAGCACAUAGUUAUAAGUGGUAGAAUUUGUGAACACUGCAAUGUGUGUAAGGUCUGCACACUGAGACAAUCUCUUUUUUACUUGGUUAACUUCUGUUUCCUGAGGUGUACUGUAAAAUGAGUAAAUAUUUUGAGGAAGAAAAGCAGAAGAUCUGAAAGGAGAUUGAAACAAAUCUCUUCUUCAUCAGUCCAAAUUCUAGUUCUCAGCAAUCCAUUGUAAAGGUAAGGUGAUUUUUAACACACCUGUUUUACUCAGUGUUGCUUGCUCAUCAGUAGUAAAGUAGUUCUAUGUGAACCUUUCUCUGCUAAUAAACCUUACUAUUUGUAAGACAAGGGAAAUUAAGGUAGUUUCGAGGCCAUCACUGAAAGAAAAAAGACUCCCCAUUAAAAAAGUCCCCCUGUUCUCCAUACUGUUUCAAGAGCUAUAGCAAUUGCUAGCAGAGAACUGUGAGAUGAAGUGGACUUAGCAUGUACAAAAGUGAUGUACACAUAAGAUUCCUUUUUCUUGUUUUGGAUUACAAAAGGUCAAGGUAGCUUUCUAAGCACCCAUUGUCAAAAGGGCAACACCUCCUCAGCAUAUGCUGAAAAUAAAUGGACAGUCCUAAGAGUAAAGGAAAAGUAAAACAAGCCUCUGUAGACACAAGGCAACCUGUCACCCAACUCAGAGAAGCAAAACAUUAUGCUGUUACCCAAAGGAUGGCUCUAAUGAUACCAUUCCGUGCUGUCAACAUCAUUCCUUUCUGAAAUAAUCCCAAGAGAAACCCCAAUUAUAGAACACAACAACCUAGGUUUUAGUAGUUCGCUGUCUCUUUUGAUGAGACAUUGAAUAGCCCACCUAGACUGGCAGUCUCAUGUUUUAUAAAUACAAAUUUAUACUUAGGAGAUGACAAUUUAAAAUUGUUCUUAAAAUACUGUACUUAAAAGAUACAAAGACUUCUGUUACAAAGUUGCAGUCAUAGUAUUACCUUUUAAAAUACAUUAGGCACAAAAUAGAUUAGCUGCACAAAUGCUUAGUUUACAUAUCCUUCCCUGUCCCUGCCGCAACAUCCACUGCCAUCUGUGAGUUCAGAGAUCACACCUCCAAAAAAUAAUAAAUGUAAUUUUUUUUUCACCAACACAGUGUAUAUUUUUUAUCUUACAAAAAUUUCAUUUGUAUUAGUUAGAAUCUGUUCUUUGAGGAAAUUCUUGAAUUCUUCAGCUGAUCAGGGAAUGAUAAUGGCACCAGCAGUACAGCCCAUCCUCAUGGCUCACUGAAUGGCAGCCAGAAGUCAGAUCGACUACAGGCUUUUCUGGAUACUUGCUAAAUACAUGUGGUUUCUUGGUCUUUUCUUCCCCCCAAAGUUGCCAGUUAUUGGUUUGUGAUGCAGGAUCCCAUUUAAGGCAUUAUAAACCAAAGAAACUAAAUUCAAUUAAUGUAUUUUUAUAAUGAGGGGAAAAGAAGACAACUUGCUGGACCAAAAACAAUAGUUCAGAUGAAAGCUGUUGAUUAAGAGCCAGUUAAAAAGCAACUCUUAAAAGUCUUGUUACUAUUGAGAAAUGAGGCAACCCAAACCUGCCAGUGAAGUGAACUUUUCCCACCACCACCUUUAACUAACUUCAACACCCACUUUAGAGCUGAUGGUCUCUUGAAUUUUGUGCUUUUUCACUCCUUCUUUGGUCGACCUUUGAAGGUAUUCAUGAUCUCAAUGAGUCCAAAGUAGUCUAAAAGAAGAACCAGUACUUUCACUGGUAGGAA